GACAGAGGUGCCGAGCGUUAGGCGGAAUCACUGGGCUUAAAGCGUGUGUAGGCGGACUUCUAAGUACCUUGUGAAAUCCCACGGCUUAACCGUGGAACUGCUUGGUAUACUGGUCGUCUUGAGCCAUCUAGGGGCUGUCGGAACAAAUGGUGGAGCGGUGAAAUGCGUAGAUAUCAUUUGGAACGCCAAAGGUGAAAAUAGACAGCUGGGGAUGUGCUGACGCUGAGACACGAAAGCCAGGGGAGCGAACGGG
rnacentral:rRNA from 1 species